CCUACGGGAGGCAGCAGUGGGGAAUUUUUCGCAAUGGGGGAAACCCUGACGAAGCAACGCCGCGUGGAGGAUGAAGGCCUUCGGGUCGUAAACUCCUGUCGACUGGGAAGAAUACACCUGACCUAAUACGUCAAAGUGUUGACGGUACCCACAGAAGAAGCCCCGGCUAACUCCGUGCCAGCAGCCGCGGUAAUACGGAGGGGGCUAGCGUUAUUCGGAAUUACUGGGCGUAAAGCGCACGUAGGCGGAUCAGAAAGUCAGAGGUGAAAUCCCAGGGCUCAACCUUGGAACUGCCUUUGAAACUUCUGGUCUUGAGGUCGAGAGAGGUGAGUGGAAUUCCGAGUGUAGAGGUGAAAUUCGUAGAUAUUCGGAGGAACACCAGUGGCGAAGGCGGCUCACUGGCUCGAUACUGACGCUGAGGUGCGAAAGCGUGGGGAGCAAACAGGAUUAGAUACCCAGGUAGUCCACGCCGUAAACGAUGAAUGCCAGUCGUCGGCAAGCAUGCUUGUCGGUGACACACCUAACGGAUUAAGCAUUCCGCCUGGGGAGUACGGCCGCAAGGUUAAAACUCAAAGGAAUUGACGG
rnacentral:rRNA from 1 species